rnacentral:rRNA from 1 species
GAUGAACGCUGGCGGCGUGCCUAAUACAUGCAAGUCGAGCGAAUGGAUUAAGAGCUUGCUCUUAUGAAGUUAGCGGCGGACGGGUGAGUAACACGUGGGUAACCUGCCCAUAAGACUGGGAUAACUCCGGGAAACCGGGGCUAAUACCGGAUAACAUUUUGAACCGCAUGGUUCGAAAUUGAAAGGCGGCUUCGGCUGUCACUUAUGGAUGGACCCGCGUCGCAUUAGCUAGUUGGUGAGGUAACGGCUCACCAAGGCAACGAUGCGUAGCCGACCUGAGAGGGUGAUCCGCCAGACUGAGACUGAGACACGGCCCAGACUCCUACGGGAGGCAGCAGUAGGGAAUCUUCCGCAAUGGACGAAAGUCUGACGGAGCAACGCCGCGUGAGUGAUGAAGGCUUUCGGGUCGUAAAACUCUGUUGUUAGGGAAGAACAAGUGCUAGUUGAAUAAGCUGGCACCUUGACGGUACCUAACCAGAAAGCCACGGCUAACUACGUGCCAGCCGCCGCGGUAA